AGUGAACGCUGGCGGUAGGCCUAACACAUGCAAGUCGAACGGCAGCACAGUAAGAGCUUGCUCUUACGGGUGGCGAGUGGCGGACGAGUGAGGAAUACAUCGGAAUCUACUUUUUCGUGGGGGAUAACGUAGGGAAACUUACGCUAAUACCGCAUACGACCUACGGGUGAAAGCAGGGGAUCUUCGGACCUUUCGCGAUUGAAUGAGCCAAUGUCGGAUUAGCUAGUUGGCGGGGUAAAGGCCCACCAAGGCGACGAUCCGUAGCUGGUCUGAGAGGAUGAUCAGCCACACUGGAACUGAGACACGGUCCAGACUCCUACGGGAGGCAGCAGUGGGGAAUAUUGGACAAUGGGCGCAAGCCUGAUCCAGCCAUACCGCGUGGGUGAAGAAGGCCUUCGGGUUGUAAAGCCCUUUUGUUGGGAAAGAAAAGCAGCAGGUUAAUACCCCGCUGUUCUGACGGUACCCAAAGAAUAAGCACCGGCUAACUUCGUG
rnacentral:rRNA from 1 species